ensembl:lncRNA
CUUGGAGACAUCUACUAAAAACUGAAAUUUUGGGUGACGCAGGUGAUCGCCUUAAGUAAACCGGAAACUGAUAUGCCGACAUCUGGCUAAAGCGGAAGUUCGUCCAUACGCUUGUGCACAGAGCCUAUUCCAGUUUCGCUUCAGUUGCUUCGUGUAUCAGCAAAGUUGUUUGAAAUGAUGUCACUUGCGACCUGCAACUUAAACCAAAACUGUGUGAAAGUUGCCCUGUGUUACGCCAGAAAAAUUAAUAGCAUGCUAUUUCCUCUACGAUUUGUUCACGUAUUCAUGUUUUGUUCAGUUGUAUUGCUGUGAGAUAAGUGCGCUACUUUAUAGGUUCCCACAGGCUCAACAGUAUUUUUUUCAACACAUUACACUUAACCCUUCUCAUUUACUACAUCCACAGCAGGCAGGCUCGAUAGGCUAGAGCGCUAGGCUGCAAACCAAAAGGCCAGUUUGAAUCCCGUAGGCUGACAUGGUGGAAAGAAAACUUUUAAUGUUCCCCUUAGCAACACUCCUAAACCUAAUGCCUAAUUUGUGCGCGUUUGCUGAUUAUAACGGCUGAACCUGGCGUGACAACAUUCUCCGAGGGUGUCUUGGAGGCAUUGACGUAAUUACAUAAAUGCUCAUUUGAAACAUGCUCACGGUGCAACAUUUCUGUAUGAAAUAGGCCACGUAGUCUUUAAACUGCCACCGAAUUGUAUUAUUUAACACUUUGUGAAUCCUUACCUGCAUAUUCAUUCGCCUUAGAACUCCAAACCUUUCUCACAUCCAAUCACAGGCUGAUAUUUACUUCCUGUUCCAAAGUGCUGUGUCACCAUUGGCCAUGGCUAGGUCAAAAGUAGCCAAUAGUAUAGGCCUGCUAUUUUCUCAGCUGUUAACGUUGCGGUAUUCUACGGAUCAUUCAUCACAAUUUUCUUUGAGAAAAUAACAUUCCAGAGAAGAGAAGAUCUUGCCGAUCCAAUUACAUAAUUAUUCAAUAAAAAGUAAAGCAUUAGCUAAUGAGAUAUUUAUUUGGGCCUGACUUUUUGGUGGUGUGGAUUAUGAACAGGCUUUUCCUCUGAUUGAUAUUCAGGGAUUUUACGAGUAGUAAGUCGUGAUUCUAUCAAGACAAUCAAUAGUAUAUAGUUAUUAUGCAGGAAAAAGCAUCAUAUAGGAAGUGUGUAGCAGGAUAAAGCUAAACUAGCAUGACGUAAUACUUGAGAUAAUAUUGUGGAAACAAAUGGAUGAUUUAUUUUUUACAAAAAGCUAAUUGUAGUGGUUCAACAUCACAUGUACAGAAAUUGGGAACAUAUGGACUCUACCGAUCAUACCAUCGUACUAAAAAGCAGGUAGUAGUUCCAAAAAAAAUAAACAGUGGAUUUUAUUAUGCAUCCAUAAAGUCACUGUAUCCCCUAUAUCAAGCAUUACUUUUGACUCCCAAAAUAGUGCACGAUGUAGAGAAAAGGGCCGAUUUGGACGCAUCCUUUUUUUUUCAAGUUGAAUGUGGUAUUUCCGUUUUUUUCAUUUAUGUGAAGUUCCUGUUUUUAAUUGAUAAGCACAAACUCCAUCGGGCAGAUUUAACCUUGGCACAGCAGGGGCGACCGAGAGAUAAAUAUGAAUGCAUCAGAAACUGGCCUGUCUAGCUUCUUCAAAGACACAAAAACUACUUAAAAGAGCAAAAGGAAGCUGGCGUGAGUUGACAUUAUAUACAUCAGCGGAUGUAGUGUGUUCGCAUGGUCUUUCAUUUAUCGAGCUAGCAGAAAGUCUGAUUCCUCUUGUUCGGUGUCUCUAAAAUAACACUGCUUUGAUUAUAACAGGUGUCUAAAGGUAUUUACUGCACCCUCUUCUAAAUGUAUGCAUUUGUAACGCUUUAACAACAGCUACGAGGCUUUGUAACGUCUGGCAUAGGCAGCUCUUAAGGAUAAUGCUGUGGCUACAUGAAGAGGAGGGACCCGUGCAUUCUUUUUAUUUUUUCCUGUUUUAGCGUAGCCGCAGGUUUUCAAAAGUUAUGUUGAAUGAGCUUUCAGAAAGCUGAUCUAGGUGAAGGUUAAAUCAGAGGUGGACACUGGGUGGCUGUUAAUUUCAGAGCUGUAUUGACUAGCUCGUCUCGUUUGUACAAGUGCGUCUGACUGGGUCACCUACCGCAUGCAUGACAAUGUGGCUCAGAUCUGCUAGAAUUUCUAAAGUCUCUAUCAUGAUGGUUUUUAUAAACAAAAAACAGAUGCAUUGCAUAAUCUCAAUUUGAAAAAGAAAAAUUUAUUGAGAUACUUGUUCAUGAAUAUUAUGUUGUUUGCUGUGCUUAUUUUUGUGCUACUAAAGGUCAAUUAACAUAAUGAGAAUAAUUUACUCUCUUUGUAAUUCAGUCAGAACCUUCCAUGGAAUAAUAGAUUAUCGUUUUGCAUUUCUGUUGUAUUUCUCCAGGAUUGUAUUAUUUUUAUUUUUUUUACAACUCUAGAAAUAGAUGGUUCGCUCCUCUCCUUUGAUUUUUGGAUCAAAGCAACAGCUGUGUGUUCAGUACAUCAUCAACAACAAUAACAACAUCGACAAAAUGCUUAUGUUUCAAUAGAUAUGUCUUUUAGCAAGAAAAUAAUGUAAAUUAUAGGGGGGAAAUAUAUAUUAUAUAAAAAUGUAUAAUAUACAAAAAUAUAUGGACUAAUGUUAUUUAUGUGAACC